rnacentral:lncRNA from 10 species
ACAAGGCCACACCAGAAAAGGAAAGCUGGGUCCUGGAAGCUUCAGGACAGGAACUCUUCCUUGGUCAAGUUUUCCCCAGCACCUAGCACAUAGGAAGGUGCUUGAUGAGUGAGUGUUAAAUGAACCUGUGAGUGCUCAGGAUGAUUUCCUGAUAAUUGGGUUCAGGAAUCUACUGGGAGGAGCUUAAACCUAGAAGUUCCCUUUUUGAAAGUCUCAAAUAUGGUUCCCUAACUUAGAGAAGACAGAUGAUUGCUCCGCCCAGCGGCGUGUCAGCUCCAGGUACAGGCUGGGCUGGUGAGGCAGGUAGUCCAAAUACAGGCGGGUGGGUGUCUUCUUGGGAAUGGCCUUCUCAAUCUGGGUGCCCUCGUGCCACUCAUUGAAGGAGGUAAUGGAAACGAUCUCGGGCCUCACUGUCAGGGCCGCCUGCAGGGCCGUCUCAUAGUACUUGCCAUUGACCCUGUUGCGCGUAUUGUGGUUGUUCCAGGGCCGAAUGCUGGUGUCUAUGUAGCCAGGCCCCACACUGGGGAUGAACAUGAGGUUGUUGGCAUCACAAAAGUUCUUCACAGCUUUCCAGUUCUGAUGGGAAGAACCAAAGGAGAAACCAUUGGAGGCAAAGUAGGUGUACAUGCCGUCAAAUCCGGCGGCCAGGAUAUCGUGGGUGUGGCCCUCCUCCACCAGCAGCGCUAUGAAGACCCCAUCG